UACGUAGGGGCUAGCGUUGUCCGGAAUCAUUGGGCGUAAAGCGCGUGUAGGCGGUCCGGUAAGUCCGCUGUGAAAGUCGGGGCUCAACCCUCGGAUGCCGGUGGACGUACUGUCGGCUUGAGUACGGAAGAGGCGAGUGGAAUUCCUGGUGUAGCGGUGAAAUGCGCAGAUAUCAGGAGGAACACCAGCGGUCGAAGCGG
rnacentral:rRNA from 1 species